rnacentral:rRNA from 1 species
GACGAACGCUGGCGGCGUGCUUAACACAUGCAAGUCGAACGGUAAGGCUCCAGCUUGCUGGGGUACACGAGUGGCGAACGGGUGAGUAACACGUGGGUGACCUGCCCUGCACUUCGGGAUAAGCCUGGGAAACUGGGUCUAAUACCGGAUAGGACCAUGGUGUGGAUACUGUGGUGGAAAGUUUUUUCGGUGUGGGAUGGGCCCGCGGCCUAUCAGCUUGUUGGUGGGGUAAUGGCCUACCAAGGCGGCGACGGGUAGCCGGCCUGAGAGGGUGGACGGCCACAUUGGGACUGAGACACGGCCCAGACUCCUACGGGAGGCAGCAGUGGGGAAUAUUGCACAAUGGGCGGAAGCCUGAUGCAGCGACGCCGCGUGGGGGAUGACGCCCUUCGGGUUGUAAACUCCUUUCACCAUCGACGAAGGGUUUCUGACGGUAGAUGGAGAAGAAGCACCGGCUAACUACGUG